ensembl:lncRNA novel transcript
ACGCAGCGCGGUUGCUGGGCACCUCGACUAUCACCUGACCGUAGUAAUAUCUCCCGCUACGCGCGUUGUGACCAAUGCUGCAUACAGGAGAUGAGGGAGGACGGCCAGACACCUGGAAGCCGGAAAAUGGACUCAGUGGCCUUUGAGGAUGUGGCAGUGAACUUCACCCAGGAGGAGUGGGCUUUGCUGGAUCCUUGGCAGAAAAAACUCUACAGAGAUGUGAUGCUGGAAACCUAUAGGAACCUGGCUUCAGUAGGUGAUGACGACAACAUUCCUUCACUUAGAGAACAAGUUGCCCAUCAACGAUAUUUCAAGACCUGGCAUGUGGAAAGGGAAUACUUCAGUAAAUAAACCAAGCAUGGUGACAGCUAAUUAGAUCUAGAAUCUAAUAGUUUUUCUAUAAUUAAUAAUGAUUUCCAAUGAUUUUUCUGGGUCUGCAUCAUAGGGAAAAAAUGUGAAGAGCAUAACAUUGAAGAUCAGUCCAAAAACCAAGAAAGAAGUCUAAGGCACAUCAGAUCUCACACUGGACACAAACCAUAUGAGUGUCAAGAUUAUGGAGAAAAGCCGUAUAGAUGUAAGGAAUGUGGGAAGGCCUUCAGUUAUUUCCAGUCAUUUAAAAAACAUGAAAGAAAUCACAGUGAAGAGAAACCCUAUAAAUGUAAACAAUGUGGGAAACCCUUCAGUUAUCGUCAAUCUGUUCUUAGACAUGAAAGGACUCACACUGGAGAAAAGCCCUAUGAAUGUAAAAAAUGUGGAAAAACCUUCAGUACUCUUACAGGUUUCCAAAUACAUGAAAGAACUCACACUAGAGAGAAACCCUAUGAAUGUAAGGAAUGUGGAAAAGCCUUUAUUUACCUUGCAAGCUUUCAAAGACACAUGAUAAUGCACAGUGGAGAUGGACCUUAUAAAUGCGAGGAGUGUGGAAAAGCAUUCAGUUGUCCUAGUUCAUUUCAAGUACCUGAACGAAUUCACACUAGAGAAAAACCAUAUGAAUGUAAACAAUGUGGUAAAGCCUUCAGUUGGCUUGGUUCCUUUCGAGUACAUGAAAGAACUCACACUGGAGAGAAACCCUGUGAAUGUAACGAAUGUGGGAAAGCCUUCAUUUAUCGAACUACGUUAAAAGGACACAUGAAUAUUCACACUGGAGAGAAACCUUAUAAAUGUGAACAAUGUGAGAAAGCCUUCCUUUCUCUUGCAAGCUUUCAAAUGCACAUGAUAAUGCAUACUGGAGAUGCACCUUAUAAAUGUAACGAAUGUGGGAAAGCAUUCAAUUGUCUUAAUUCAUUUCAAAUCCAUGAAAGGACUCACACUGGAGAGAAACCGUAUGAAUGUAAACAAUGUGGUAAAGCCUUCAGUUGUUCCAGUUCCUUUAGAAUACAUGAAAGAAGUCAUAGUGGAGAGAAACCCCACGUAUGUAAACGAUGUGGUAAAGCCUUCAUUUGGCACAAUUCCUUUUGAAUACAUGAAAGAACCCACACUGGAGAGAAACCCUAUGUAUGCAAGCAGUGUGGCAAAGCUUUCAUUUAUUGUACAACUUUUCAAGGACACAUGAGAAUGCACACUGGAGAGAAGCCCUAUAAAGUGUAAAGAAUGUGGAAAAGCCUUCAGUCAUCCCAGUUCAUUUAGAAGCCAUGAAAAAAUACACCCUGGCAGAAAACUUCUUGAAUGUAAGUAAAGUGGGAGUUUUCAACUUGCCCACCUCCUUACAAAAACAUGCAAUAAGAAUGUGCUAGAUAUAAAGCUUACAAAUGUGAGAAAUACAGGAAGUUUUUCAGUUUUAACAAAUACUGUCAAAGUCAUGUGAAAAUUCUCACUAGAAAGAAAUCCAAUAAAGGCAAGUUGAGGCAUACCUGUUUGUUAUUCAGGAAUUUGCUAUAAGGUUAUACUGGGGGAGGGGGUGCCAUGUUUAAAUUCAAUGGUAUCUUAAGGUAAAACUGUAAUUUAAGCCCCAGUAUUGAUUAAGGACAUGGAAAUUUGCCAACUGAUGCAUUUCAACGGAUGUUGAAGUUAAUUCGGAGCCUGUUUUGUAGAGGUGUGAAACCCAGUCAGCACCCAUUUAUUUUUUUGCUGUUAUUUUAAUAAACUUUGGAUUUCUAAUUUGAUCAAA